AUAUAUGUGUGUGUGUGUGUGUGUGUGUGUAUGUGUGUGUGUAUAUAUAUAUAUAUAUAUAUAUACACACACACAUAUAUAUAC